rnacentral:tRNA from 1 species
UCGAGUGGCUGAAGAGGCACGCCUGGAAAGCGUGUAUUCCCCUAAAGGGAAUCGGGGGUUCGAAUCCCCCUCUUUCC